rnacentral:lncRNA from 1 species
CUAUAGGCUAAGAAUAACAAUACUUGGAGUAUCUACCUCCAAGGGUGGUUUUGAAGAUAAAGAGAUAUGUAAACCUUAGUUGUUGUUUUCAGUCAUGUCCAACUUUUCAUGACUCCAUUUUGGAUUGUCUUGGAAGAGAUAUGGGAGUAGUUUGUCAUUUUCUUCUCUAGCUCAUUUUAUAGAUGAGUUAACUGAGGCCAACAGGAUUAAGUGACUUACCCAAUAUUCUGUAGCUAGUAAAGUAUCUGAAGUUGGAUUUGAAUUCAGAAAUAUGAGUCUCUCUGAUUUCAGGCCUGGCACUCUAUCUACUGGGAUACCUAACUGACCUUAGCUUUAAGCCUUAAAGCACCAUUAUUCUUGUCAUAUACUAGGCUAUUAAGGAAUGGUUGUUGAGCAAUAUGUAAACUUGGACAAAAUCAUGUCUUGAAGACAUCUAAAGGAAGAUGAUGGAAUAAGGAUGCGGUUUAGCAAGAAGGAACACAUUUUCAUAAUCCAAAAAAGCACACUGCUGAAUGGCCCUCCACUCUGCCUAAAGAAAGCAGCUAAGUGACUUCAAAUGCAUUGUAUCCUGGAGGCAGCUACCAUUAUCAAUGAACUCCUUUGUCCUUGAAGACUUUUCAUUCAUAAUAACUCUUAAAGCCUGCCAACAGGAAAGAAACCAAGCAAUUUGGAAAACCCUUUACUUUGAAUCACAUUGUAGAAGCUGGAUCUCACCAUAUAACAUACUCCUCCUACUACCUCAUUGGAUGCCUUGGGAAGAAACAGCUCAUUGCAUAGACUUGCAAGAUUCAGCUCUUUCUGUACAGGAUCUUUGCAAAAGAUGGAGUAUUGAAGAUGAAACAGUCUAA